AUUUUGUGCAGAAAAGAUAAGAGUGCGUGCAUAUGUUAACACAGCCAUUCGUCUACGUCCAUCAUAGACCGCUUUUGUUAAAGGGUCUGAAAAUGAAGCAGUAGGGCUUUACCAAAAGAAAGCAAAGCACCGGUGACUUUGAUUUUAGCAAAUAUGUGAUGGUCCUUCUGGAAUGACCACGAGUGCGCUCGGAUGUGGCUGAGCUGUGACGCUCCUCUGCAGAGGGAAGGAAGGCGCUCAGAGAUGUUGGAAGGCCUGCCCCACGGGCCGCACUGCAGAGGUCCACCUCGGAAAGACGGGGCAUUCGGCCUUCACAGGAAAGUUCUUUGCUCCAUUUUAAAGAAGAGGCUCGCGGGAUGCCUGGGGUGCAGGUGGCAGAGCCG